ACUCCUACGGGAGGCAGCAGUGGGGAAUAUUGCACAAUGGGGGAAGCCCUGAUGCAGCCAUGCCGCGUGUGUGAAGAAGGCCUUCGGGUUGUAAAGCACUUUCAGUAGGGAGGAAGGUAGUGUAGUUAACACCUGCACUAUUUGACGUUACCUACAGAAGAAGCACCGGCUAACUCCGUGCCAGCAGCCGCGGUAAUACGGAGGGUGCGAGCGUUAAUCGGAAUUACUGGGCGUAAAGCGCAUGCAGGCGGCCUGUUAAGUCAGAUGUGAAAGCCCGGGGCUUAACCUCGGAAUUGCAUUUGAAACUGGCAGGCUAGAGUCUUGUAGAGGGGGGUAGAAUUUCAGGUGUAGCGGUGAAAUGCGUAGAGAUCUGAAGGAAUACCAGUGGCGAAGCGGCCCCCUGGACAAAGACUGACGCUCAGAUGCGAAAGCUGGGGAGCAAACAGGAUUAGAUACCCUGGUAGCACAGAG
rnacentral:rRNA from 1 species